GAUGAAGAACGUAGUGAAAUGCGAUAAGUAAUGUGAAUUGCAGAAUUCAGUGAAUCAUCGAAUCUUUGAACGCACAUUGCGCCCGCUAGUAUUCUGGCGGGCAUGCCUGUCCGAGCGUCAUUUCAACCCUCAAGCCCCCGGGCUUGGUGUUGGGGAUCGGCGAGCCUCCGCGCCCGCCGUCCCCUAAAUCUAGUGGCGGUCUCGCUGUAGCUUCCUCUGCGUAGUAGCACACCUCGCACUGGGAAACAGCGCGGCCACGCCGUUAAACCCCCAACUUCUGAACGUUUGACCUCGGAUCAGGUAGGAAUACCCGCUGAACUUAAGCAUAUCAAUAAGCGGAGG
rnacentral:misc_RNA from 1 species